rnacentral:rRNA from 1 species
GAUGAACGCUGGCGGCGUGCCUAAUACAUGCAAGUCGAGCGAACAGAUGAGUAGCUUGCUCCUCUGACGUUAGCGGCGGACGGGUGAGUAACACGUGGAUAACCUACCUAUAAGACUGGGAUAACUUCGGGAAACCGGAGCUAAUACCGGAUAAUAUAUUGAACCGCAUGGUUCAAUAGUGAAAGACGGUUUUGCUGUCACUUAUAGAUGGAUCCGCGCCGCAUUAGCUAUUUGGUAAGGUAACGGCUUACCAAGGCAACGAUGCGUAGCCGACCUGAGAGGGUGAUCGGCCACACUGGAACUGAGACACGGUCCAGACUCCUACGGGAGGCAGCAGUAGGGAAUCUUCCGCAAUGGGCGAAAGCCUGACGGAGCAACGCCGCGUGAGUGAUGAAGGUCUUCGGAUCGUAAAACUCUGUUAUUAGGGAAGAACAAAUGUGUAAGUAACUAUGCACGUCUUGACGGUACCUAAUCAGAAAGCCACGGCUAACUACGUG